rnacentral:rRNA from 1 species
ACACGUUCCCAUCCCGAACACGACCGUUAAGCCCUCUAGCGCCGAUGGUACUUGGACCGCAGGGUCCUGGGAGAGUAGGAAGCCGCC